rnacentral:rRNA from 1 species
ACUGUACGGGAGGCAGCAGUGAGGAAUAUUGGACAAUGGGUGGAAGCCUGAUCCAGCCAUCCCGCGUGAAGGAAGACGGUUCUAUGGAUUGUAAACUUCUUUUAUUACAGGAUAACCUACUCUCGUGAGGGUAGCUGAAGGUACUGUAUGAAUAAGCACCGGCUAACUCCGUGCCAGCAGCCGCGGUAAUCAGU